GAUGAACGCUGGCGGCGUGCCUAAUACAUGCAAGUCGAGCGAACGGACGAGAAGCUUGCUUCUCUGAUGUUAGCGGCGGACGGGUGAGUAACACGUGGAUAACCUACCUAUAAGACUGGGAUAACUUCGGGAAACCGUAGCUAAUACCGGAUAAUAUUUUGAACCGCAUGGUUCAAAAGUGAAAGACGGUCUUGCUGUCACUUAUAGAUGGGUCCGCGCUGCAUUAGCUAGUUGGUAAGGUAACGGCUUACCAAGGCAACGAUGCAUAGCCGACCUGAGAGGGUGAUCGGCCACACUGGAACUGAGACACGGUCCAGACUCCUACGGGAGGCAGCAGUAGGGAAUCUUCCGCAAUGGGCGAAAGCCUGACGGAGCAACGCCGCGUGAGUGAUGAAGGUCUUCGGAUCGUAAAACUCUGUUAUUAGGGAAGAACAUAUGUGUAAGUAACUGUGCACAUCUUGACGGUACCUAAUCAGAAAGCCACGGCUAACUACGUG
rnacentral:rRNA from 1 species